CCACAAUUCCUGAGGGGAAAAUAUGGAUUAUAGUGGCUUUUUACAGGUAAUGUAAAAACUAAAUCGAAGGUGAUUGGUUGGAACAAAAACCAGCACACGGAUCAACCCUCCAGGACCGGAGUUGUGCGCCCCCCCUAAUUUAGACAGGGUAAAGGGCGGAACCAAAAGCCCACAGAAACUGCCCGUUCAGGACUACUCGUCCCUCACACGGGCCGUCAGAACUGGGUUAUUUUAUUUCCACGUGUGAAGAGCUUUGCGUGUUAAGUUGACCUCCUGUUGACAGUCAAGGGAAAAUGUGAUUUCGGCUUUCCUCCUCAGGUGUAAGAGCUGUGGACAAGGACAGGACAGGGUGCCUGCUCAUGACCCUGAGGAUCGUAAUGAGAACACCAUCGAGAUACAGCCUCUCAAUGCAGAAGUUGCAAAUGAAAACGUUAACGGGGUCCAUUGAGAGGAUGGCAGCGUUGAGACUGCAGGAUAACUGAAAUCACGGCCCUCACCCCUGCAGCCUACAUUUCAUCCCCGGUAGGGGGGGGGGGUGGGGGUGGGGGGUGGAGGAGGUGGAGGAGGCAAGGCACACAGGUGACGCAGUUGAUGAGUUACCAAUCCCUGAGCUUAGUGAGCCUGAUACACGCCCACCCUGUGGCCCACAGUGCUUUCUUGGGACUGCGGUGCAAAUAACUGGUGAAACAUGAGCCUUUUUCUCCCGUUACGGUUGCUCUCAAGCCCCCGCAAACAUAAGCGAUGCCGACACCAAGGUUUCCCUAAACUAACCCAUAACUUUAUUUAAUUACAAAAAGAAAUACUAAAAUAGACGCAAAACACCAGAUAAAAUCAAGACCCGGCCGUGGUCGAGAGGUGAGGAGAAAAAACUCCCAUCUCAUGAGAAGCCGACUCCAGGCUUCUUAAAAGGGCACCGCCACAGGUGCUCUCAAUUAACUGUAACAAGACACACGCGUGUCCAAACGGCCAGCGCCCCCACCUGAGGCGGAGGGACGUAACAUCCCCUCUUACUUGGAUGAUUCUCCUGUGUGAUCUGGGUGAUGGGAAAUGACACUGCAUCUACACUGUGUCUUUUAUUGCUUUUUAAUGCCUUUUUAUUUAUUUAUUUAUCAUGAAGCACUUUGUGAUGGGCUAUGAAACACUAACACAACACUACGCAAAGGCAUUUCAUAUUUCUGCACGCUUGUUAGAAUUUUAUUUUGAUGCAAUGCAUUUCCACUUUUUUUUUCCGGAGACUAACCCUUUUGUUUCUUUGAUUCAUUAUGCAUUAUCAUAGAAGUGUGCAGAGUCUUCCUGUGUCUAAACAGCACACAGCAGUGCUUUGUCACAUAUCAUCUCAAAUGAAAGCUGAAAAUGAGGUGAAUAAGAGAUUCCAAAUCUGAUCAGUUGAAAAAAUAUGUUCAGGACUGAACAUGAACUCAGAUACCUGCAAUGGCUGUUUUAAAGUUUAAAGUUUUGUUCAUGAGUUUAUACUUAUUUAUAAAAUAAAAUGGUGAUGUAUGAAACGGUGCCUGAUUGUAAAGCAGAAAUGCCACACAAUGGAGUAUCUAUACAUGUAUACAGAUGUUUGUUCCAAAUCGUAGUUGAUAUGUUCGAUAUGAAAUGUGUAAUCAAAAUGAAAUCAGUGAUACCUGGAAUUAAUGUUUUUUUACAUAUUUAAUAUUUAAAUAGAAACAAAAUAGUUUAAACUUAUAAAAUGGCAAUCAAACAGUGUCUGAUUUUAAAGCAGAAAUGCCGUAAACUGUUUUAAGGUUUUAACGAGAGAUUAAAAUGAUUGUGUUUAUAGCAAUUUGUGAAUAGCAUCUUUUAUCCUUAAGCUGACAUCUCAACCGUACGGUAGAGGUCUAUAAUUUCUAAAGGGGUCACGUUAUGAAAAAAAAGUGUUAAACAUUGUUAUUUGAUGCUCUAGUAAUAGGUAUUUAUGGUUAAUUAAUUCUUUUCAUCACCUAUUUCAAUGAGUGACAGAGGAGGGCACUGGAAUAACAGUGUCCUACUUACCACCACUUUUUCCCUUCCUUUUCCCCCUCUUUGCUCUGCUCUUUGUAUUUUUGAUACUUUAAUAAACCCAUUUGUAAUCGA